rnacentral:tRNA from 1 species
GCUUCUAUAGUUUAAAAAAAACAUUAAUUUUGUAAAUUAAAAAUAUUUCCUAAAUUAUAAGCA